CGACGCUCCAGCGGCAUCCCCUCCUCGUCAUCGUCGCGCGGCGCCCGAUUGGCAGAGCAGCAGCCUCAGUCCCGGCCUCCCAAUGGCGUGGUGAGAGAACCCCCCUCCCUUUUGUCCGGCCCCUUGCUGUCGUCUCGUCUCGUCUCCUCCAGGGAGGGAAGAAGAAGAUGAGCUGCUCCUCUUGCUGCGCCGCCGCCGCCGUUCCGUCUCCCCCGGUGGUUCUCGCCAGGCCGCGGGUGAGGUUCACUGCUUCCUGCACCACAAGAACAGAACAGAAGGUGUUUUUUCUCGGUUCCAAACAGUUUCCACGGAUCACAUACAGCCCAUCACGGAGAGAGGUAAUAGCUUUUGCCGGGCAACAGUCUUGGGACAUCGGCAGAUUUGUCAGGACUUUGUACUUCUUCAACGGGCCCCCAAACCCUCUGAAGAUUGUAGAGUCCAUCAUUAGCAGUUUUACUGGCUCUGCUUCUAGUGAAGCGCCGAAGAAAAUGGAAACAUUGGAUGUGGUGCUGGUCACUGGAGCCACUGGUGGUGUUGGGCGCCGGGUGGUCGACAUCUUGCGGAAGAAGGGUGUACCAGUUCGAAUAUUGGCUAGAAAUGAAGAUAAGGCAAGGAGCAUGCUGGGGCGCGAUUUAGAUUUGAUCAUAGGAGAUGUUACAAAGGAAGAUACACUCGAUCCUAAGCUCUUCAAAGGGAUCAAGAAAGUAGUGAACGCUGUAUCUGUCAUAGUAGGACCAAAGGAAGGUGAUACACCAGAUAGACAGAAGUACAAACAAGGCAUCAAGUUUUUUGAACCUGAGAUCAAGGGACCUUCACCUGAAAUGGUAGAGUACAUCGGAAUGCAAAACUUGAUUAAUGCCAUAAAGAACAGUGUUGGACUAAGUGAAGGGAAACUUCUAUUUGGGCUUAAAGGCAACUUAUCUGGAAAGAUUGUGUGGGGAGCUCUUGAUGAUGUUGUAAUGGGUGGUGUUAGUGAAAGUACUUUUCAAAUCCUACCAACAGGAAGUGAAACUGGCGGGCCAACUGGGUUGUUCAAAGGUACUGUAUCUACUUCAAAUAAUGGUGGGUUUACUAGUAUAAGGACAAAGAAUUUCACUGUGCCAGAGGACCUGUCAGCAUACGAUGGCAUUGAAUUACGAGUUAAAGGUGAUGGGCGACGGUAUAAACUCAUUAUUCGGACAAGCUAUGAAUGGGAUACUGUUGGCUAUACAGAAAGCUUUGACACAACCAAGGGAGAAUGGCAAAGUGUUAAAAUACCUUUCUCUUCUCUGAAACCUGUAUUUCGUGCUCGUACUAUGACUGAUGCUCCACCCUUCGAUGCAAGCAACAUUACAUCACUGCAGCUUAUGUUCAGCAAGUUUGAAUAUGAUGGAAAACUCAACCCAACAUUUACUGAAGGUCCAUUCGAGCUUCCUUUUUCAAGUAUUAGAGCAUACAUCAAUGAGCCGAUCACUCCAAGGUUCGUUCAUGUGAGUUCUGCAGGAGUUACAAGGCCUGAAAGACCGGGUCUAGAUUUAAGCAAGCAACCACCUGCUGUUCGCUUGAACAAAGAGCUUGGCUCCAUCUUAACUUAUAAGUUGAAGGGAGAGGAUCUAAUUAGGGAAAGUGGUAUUCCGUACACUAUUGUCCGGCCAUGUGCAUUAACUGAGGAACCAGCUGGAGCGGAUCUCAUAUUUGACCAGGGGGACAAUAUCACAGGGAAGAUAUCAAGGGAAGAAGUUGCCCGCAUUUGUGUAGCAGCUCUGGCAAGCCCAAACGCGGUGGGGAAAACUUUUGAGGUCAAGAGCACUGUUCCAUUCAGCGAACCAUAUGUGAUUGACCCUUCCAACCCCCCUCCUGAAAAGGACUAUGAUGUGUACUUUAAAGAAUUAAAAGAAGGCAUCACGGGUAAAGAGGCACUAGAAGCAACACCUGCUCAGGUCUGAAGAAUCGUUGCAUGAAGAAUGCCAUCUGCUUUGGUAAAAUUUGACAUGGUAACCCUCCACUCCCCAUGGUGAUUUUAAUACCAAAGGGGAGAUCCUCUGUGAAAGAAGAUGCUUUCGAUAUGUAAUGUAAAAUGAGCAGGCAGUGACAAUAUCCUGUCUUUACCAUGCAUGUAUAUGAAGAGAAACGUGAGUUACGUAGAAUUGUAGGUGACAUUUGGAUGGUAAAUCUAGGAUACGGAUUACUAUAGAGCAGAUCUUAUAUCUGUAUUUUUCUCUCUCUUACUAGUAGGGUACUGCACGUGUUUUAUGACAA